UGCAUCGGCCGGGAAUCGAACCCGGGGCGCCCGCGUGGCAGGCGAGCAUUCUACAAUGAACCAAAAGC
rnacentral:tRNA from 1 species